AAGAGUUUUCCAAAUAAAAUGAAGAGGGCUAUCAUGGCAUAUCAAGUUUCUCUAAUUUUCAGGAAACAAAGAUACUAAUUUGCUUUACUCUUAGGGAUUCUUAAAAGGCCUCUUUUCUAACUGCAUAUUUAGAAUAUAUAAUCAGAGGACCAACGUUCAGUAUCCUUUUUUGUGCCAUCACUUUAAAAAGUGCAGCCAUGCUCCCCACUUAACUAUCUGGAGUUGAGAAAUGAUCUGGGAGUUAGCCCAGAAAUAGUGUGAACAGCUAGAGCCAAUAUUGACAAAUCCUUAUUCUGCAACCCCACAAGUUUCUCUCCUAGGUAAGCUCAUGGGGCUCUCAAUCAUACCCUGUCAUUCUUACUUCAGACACUAGUCCCACUUCUUUGGUUAUCUAUAUUCUGAGCCCACAAAUCAGAGGCAUCCAGCUGAAAAAGCUGAAAGCUUCUAGAAUGGCACUAUCCACUACGGUAGCCAGUGGCCCCCUGUGGCUACUGUGCACUUAAAAUGUGGCCAGUCCUAACUGCAAUGUGCUGGCUAGGGGAUAAGAAUGCAGCAGUGAACACGGUUCCUGCACUCAUGAAGCAAAUGUAUCCACUGUGGUACAAAAGAGACUGUAAAAAACAAACCCAAAUGGACAACAGAGUUCUGAACCAUCCUGUGACAAGUCUAGUUACCCUAAAGCUGUCAUGCAGGAGAGACCAUGUGGAGAGAAGGAGAGUUAGAGAGAGGAGGAGCCCCUGCUGUUUGAGUAUUCUCAGCCCAGACACCAGACAUGAGUGAGGAAGCAUUCAGACCCCAACUCCAGUUUAAAAACACCACCACUCAACAGCCUGUUU
rnacentral:antisense_RNA from 1 species